rnacentral:rRNA from 1 species
CGAAUUCGCCCUUCCUACGGGAGGCAGCAGUGGGGAAUAUUGCGCAAUGGGCGGAAGCCUGACGCAGCGACGCCGCGUGGGGGAUGACGGCCUUCGGGUUGUAAACCUCUUUCGACCUUGACGAAGCCUUUCGGGGUGACGGUAGGGGUAGAAGAAGCACCGGCCAACUACGUGCCAGCAGCCGCGGUAAUACGUAGGGUGCGAGCGUUGUCCGGAAUUAUUGGGCGUAAAGAGCUCGUAGGCGGUCUGUCGCGUCGGUCGUGAAAACUUGGGGCUUAACCCUGAGCUUGCGGUCGAUACGGGCAUGACUGGAGUUCGGCAGGGGAGACUGGAAUUCCUGGUGUAGCGGUGAAAUGCGCAGAUAUCAGGAGGAACACCGGUGGCGAAGGCGGGUCUCUGGGCCGAUACUGACGCUGAGGAGCGAAAGCGUGGGGAGCGAACAGGAUUAGAUACCCUGGUAGUCCACGCCGUAAACGGUGGGCGCUAGGUGUGGGGGCCAUUCCACGGUCUCUGUGCCGCAGCUAACGCAUUAAGCGCCCCGCCUGGGGAGUACGGUCGCAAGAUUAAAACUCAAAGGAAUUGACGGA